AUAAGGUGUGGGGUUUUUUUGGAAAAAAAUUUAAAAUCCUCAGGCUGCAAAGCCCAUAUUUAGGUCUCAGAAACAGGUCUCCUUACCAAGACAUUAAAUACCACUGAGGGUUUCAAAGGAAGGCUGAUUGAGCAGCUGGAGCACUAGCGGUGGAGUAAGACUUCUACUGGAGUAGAGCUGGAAGGUGCCAGCUGGACACUCCUCUCAAUUACCCUCUUUGUUGGUGUUCCUGCUUCCCAGCUACCUGACAAUUACCAGUCAUUUGGUCAAGAAGCACCCAAUGGGAAGAAAAGGAACAGGGAAAGGAGAUGUGCUUUGUGCUGUGACUCUGGAACCAUAAGGAAUGAUUUUAGACUGAAAGAAGAGAGAUUGAGACGAGAUCUCGGGAAGAAAUUCUUUGGUGUGAGGGUGGUGAGACCCUGGCCCAGGUUGCCCCGAGAAGCUGUGGCUGCCCCAUCCCUGGAGGGGUUCAAGGCCAGGUUGGGACUUUGAGCAACCUGGGCUGGUGGGGGGUGUCCCUGCCCAGGGCAGGGGAUUGGAACUAGAUGGUCUUUAAGGUCCCUUCCAAUUCAAACCAUUCUGUGAUUCUAUGAUUAUUAUUAUCAUGAUUAUAGUCAAAACUGAAAAACAAAUGCUAAAUACAGUCCUUUUGGAUGUGCAAUGCAAAAAGAAAGGGAAAAUACGAAGUACACUGAAGGCUUCAGAAAAGUGACUUGUUUAAUGAAUGGGACUGAGGUAGCAUCACCUACGACAACACUGCUUUUAGCGGUUUGAAAGGUUCUGCACCCUUUGAAGGAGUUUGGAGGGAAAAGCCACCCCACCUCUCCUUUCGUAACAGUGUUUUGCUGUGAAUAUGCAAUCAACAACAACAAAAAAAUCUAGUUUUAAGGAUCUAGUAAGGCUUAGCAAGCAGAAGGUCUCUUAGCAACAAAACCCCAUAACUAAUGUGAAGCAGCUGUGGUAAUUUUAGAAAAUGGCUCAAACUGUUGAAAAGCCAUUAGGAAGCUGAUAUAUAGAGAAUAAAAAGAACCACUCAACUUUAAAAAGAUUUCCC
rnacentral:lncRNA from 1 species